rnacentral:lncRNA from 1 species
UAUAUAUAUAUAUAUAUAUAUAUAUAUAUAUAUAUAUAUAUAUAUGUGCAUGCAUGCAUAAUUAAUAUCUUUAUUAUUAUGUAAAUUUCAUUAUUGUAUUGUUGUUUUUAAAUUGUGUAGGUACUUUAAUGAACAGAUUUCUGCGUUUCGGGAAAAAAUAUUUAUCUUUUAUAAUUAUAUUUAUAAUAGUUAUUUUUACAUUCUUCUAUAUUACCACAUAUUAUUACAAAAAUUAUAACUGUAAAAAAAAAAAAUAAAAUAAAUAAUAAUAAAUAUGCAACCAUUUUUUGUUUUCACAAUUUAUAAAACUUUUAAAAAUAACAACUAUGGGGCAUAUGUUUUAUACAUUUACGUUAUUGCUAUACAUUAAUAACAAUUUCAUAUUUUCCACUAUUUUAUUUUAUUUUUUUUUUUUAGCACAUGAUUAUGAAUUAAAUUGUGAUGAUUUAAAUGGUAAAUGUCUGAAUUAUCAAUAUCCAAGUUUUAUAGAGAGUAGACUUCAAAUUGUUGACCACAAUAAUGAUAAGCAGAAUGUUAUAUUAAGAAGUAGUGUACCCUUGUUUGAUGGUGUAUAUUCGGAGGAAUUAUUACGAGAAAGUAUUAAAAAAUUAAUGGAAGCAUCAAAAAUGAAUUAUGAUGAAAAUUCGGAUCUUUACAUUAUAUCCUUUUUAAGAAAUAAUGAUAAUGAAGGAUGUUGUUAUACUGCGGAAAAAUGUAGCACAGAAUAUGCAACUGUCAUUAAUCACGUUAUUUUGGGACACGAAGUGGACCCAUAUGAUAUUGAUGAGAAGACCCUUUAUAAAGAACUAAUAAGUUUAAAUUGGGACACUGACAAGUUAAUACGUAAUGUAAAUGACCUCAAAAACAAAUUUAAUACAUUUAACAACACCAUAUUUUUAAUUCAUUGUAAAAGAGGUAUACAUAGGACUGGUGAGUUUGUUGCGGCAUAUAAAAUGUUAGCAAAAAAAGAAUAUUUUCAAGCAACAAUUGUAGAUAAUGAAAAAAUAGGAAAACCCCAAUUGAAGAAUAUUAGAAUGUUAAAAUGGUUAUGUUUAUAUUUAGAAAAAAUUGUAAGUUAUGAGAAUAUAGGAUGUUACGAUUAUAGAUAAAAAGUACAUAUAUGAAAAAAAAAAAAAAAGUUAUUUUUGUAUAUGUACACGCAUUAUAUAUUGUUAAGUGUUAUUAUUAAUAAUUAUGUAUUUAUUAAAUCUUGUGCUAUUAUAUAUAUAUAUAUAUAUAUAUAUGUAUAUGUAAAGUCAUUUUUAUUUUAUUCUAAUUUUUUUUUUACUAUUAUUUAAAGAGAUAUAUAUAAAUAAAAAUAUUAUUGCUAUUACUUAUGCA